AACGCACAUUGCGCCCUUUGGUAUUCCGAAGGGCAUGCCUGUUCGAGCGUCUUUGCACCCCUCAAGCAUUGCUUGGUAUUGGGCUUCGCCCCUGUGGCGGGCCUGGAGUUCAGUGGCGAUCCAACGAGUCUUCAAGCGUAGCAAGAUUACACGAUCCCACUUUAGAAGGUUCCUGCUGCGUGCCGGCCAGAUAACCACAAUUUCUUGCAAUGAUUGACCUCGGUUCAGGUAGGGAUACCCGCUGAACUUAA
rnacentral:misc_RNA from 1 species